rnacentral:rRNA from 1 species
UGGAAGCAAAAAGUCGUAACAAGGUCUCCGUAGGUGAACCUGCGGAGGGAUCAUUACACAAAUAUGAAGGCGGGCUGGAACCUCUCGGGGUUACAGCCUUGCUGAAUUAUUCACCCUUGUCUUUUGCGUACUUCUUGUUUCCUUGGUGGGUUCGCCCACCACUAGGACAAACAUAAACCUUUUGUAAUUGCAAUCAGCGUCAGUAACAAAUUAAUAAUUACAACUUUCAACAACGGAUCUCUUGGUUCUGGCAUCGAUGAAGAACGCAGCGAAAUGCGAUAAGUAGUGUGAAUUGCAGAAUUCAGUGAAUCAUCGAAUCUUUGAACGCACAUUGCGCCCUUUGGUAUUCCAAAGGGCAUGCCUGUUCGAGCGUCAUUUGUACCCUCAAGCUUUGCUUGGUGUUGGGCGUCUUGUCUCUAGCUUUGCUGGAGACUCGCCUUAAAGUAAUUGGCAGCCGGCCUACUGGUUUCGGAGCGCAGCACAAGUCGCACUCUCUAUCAGCAAAGGUCUAGCAUCCAUUAAGCCUUUUUUUUCAACUUUGACCUCGGAUCAGGUAGGAAUCCCCCCA